CGUUCUAUGGCCGAACUAGUGAAGGGAUCGCCGAUUACACGCGAAGAUGCGGGUUCGAGUCUCGCUGGAACUG
rnacentral:tRNA from 1 species